AGACCCGAAACCCGGUGAUCUAGCCAUGGGCAGGUUGAAGGUUGGGUAACACUAACUGGAGGACCGAACCGACUAAUGUUGAAAAAUUAGCGGAUGACCUGUGGCUGGGGGUGAAAGGCCAAUCAAACCGGGAGAUAGCUGGUUCUCCCCGAAAGCUAUUUAGGUAGCGCCUCGUGAAUUCAUCUCCGGGGGUAGAGCACUGUUUCGGCUAGGGGGCCAUCCCGGCUUACCAACCCGAUGCAAACUGCGAAUACCGGAGAAUGUUAUCACGGGAGACACACGGCGGGUGCUAACGUCCGUCGUGAAGAGGGAAACAACCCAGACCGCCAGCUAAGGUCCCAAAGUCAUGGUUAAGUGGGAAACGAUGUGGGAAGGCCCAGACAGCCAGGAUGUUGGCUUAGAAGCAGCCAUCAUUUAAAGAAAGCGUAAUAGCUCACUGGUCGAGUCGGCCUGCGCGGAAGAUGUAACGGGGCUAAACCAUGCACCGAAGCUGCGGCAGCGAACGUAUCACCCAAGACAACUUUACGGAGUUGACGAUUGACGGAGCGAAGCGACGUCAAAGCGUUCAUUAAAGUCGAGUUGGCUUAGGGAUACGUUCGUUGGGUAGGGGAGCGUUCUGUAAGCCUGUGAAGGUGUGUCGUGAGGCAUGCUGGAGGUAUCAGAAGUGCGAAUGCUGACAUAAGUAACGAUAAAGCGGGUGAAAAGCCCGCUCGCCGGAAGACCAAGGGUUCCUGUCCAACGUUAAUCGGGGCAGGGUGAGUCGACCCCUAAGGCGAGGCCGAAAGGCGUAGUCGAUGGGAAACGGGUUAAUAUUCCCGUACUUGGUGUUACUGCGAAGGGGGGACGGAGAAGGCUAUGUUGGCCGGGCGACGGUUGUCCCGGUUUAAGCGUGUAGGUGUGUGUUCCAGGUAAAUCCGGUUCACUUUAACACUGAGGCGUGAUGACGAGGCACUACGGUGCUGAAGCAACAAAUGCCCUGCUUCCAGGAAAAGCCUCUAAGCAUCAGGUAACAUCAAAUCGUACCCCAAACCGACACAGGUGGUCAGGUAGAGAAUACCAAGGCGCUUGAGAGAACUCGGGUGAAGGAACUAGGCAAAAUGGUGCCGUAACUUCGGGAGAAGGCACGCUGACACGUAGGUGAAGUGAUUUACUCAUGGAGCUGAAGUCAGUCGAAGAUACCAGCUGGCUGCAACUGUUUAUUAAAAACACAGCACUGUGCAAACACGAAAGUGGACGUAUACGGUGUGACGCCUGCCCGGUGCCGGAAGGUUAAUUGAUGGGGUCAGCGCAAGCGAAGCUCCUGAUCGAAGCCCCGGUAAACGGCGGCCGUAACUAUAACGGUCCUAAGGUAGCGAAAUUCCUUGUCGGGUAAGUUCCGACCUGCACGAAUGGCGUAAUGAUGGCCAGGCUGUCUCCACCCGAGACUCAGUGAAAUUGAACUCGCUGUGAAGAUGCAGUGUACCCGCGGCAAGACGGAAAGACCCCGUGAACCUUUACUAUAGCUUGACACUGAACAUUGAGCCUUGAUGUGUAGGAUAGGUGGGAGGCUUUGAAGUGUGGACGCCAGUCUGCAUGGAGCCGACCUUGAAAUACCACCCUUUAAUGUUU
rnacentral:rRNA from 1 species